UACAGAGGUGGCAAGCGUUGUUCGGAAUUACUGGGCGUAAAGGGCGCGUAGGCGGCCUUCUAAGUCAGACGUGAAAUCCCCCGGCUUAACCUGGGAACUGCGUCUGAUACUGGAAGGCUUGAGUGCGGGAGAGGGAUGUGGAAUUCCAGGUGUAGCGGUGAAAUGCGUAGAUAUCUGGAGGAACACCGGUGGCGAAGGCGGCAUCCUGGACCGGCAUUGACGCUGAGGCGCGAAAGCGUGGGGAGCAAACAGG
rnacentral:rRNA from 1 species